CCCCGGGGCGGCCGUCAGCCUCCCGCAACCACGCCGAGCUAACUCGCGGCCGAGCCCGCCGCUUCCGCGCCCCUCGCCACCCCGCCCGCCCCGCUCACCGGCUCCUGCCCCAGUCCCCGGCUCCGCUAGCCGCAGCCAGAGCGAGACUCAGUCACUCCAGGACUGACAGAGGGCUCCAGAUUGACAGAGGGCUCACCAUCUUGUAGCUGUAUCACCCAGAACACAGCAACUGAGUCUCUGUGGCAGAGGAAGAAAAUUCUGUGGGUCAUGAGACAAGCAAACCUUAUGUGAAUCCUCAGCGGCAAGGUCUCUAACAAAGCUGCAAUCAAGGUGUCAGCUGGAGUCUCAUUUGAAGGCUUGACUGGGGAAUGUUGUCAGCAGAAUUUAGUUUCUCAAGGGCUGUUGGACUAAAAUCCUCAGUACUAGCUGACUGUUGGUCAGGGGCCAUCCUCAUUUCCUUGUGGCAUGGACCUCUCCAACAUGGCAGCUCAUUUCAUCAAAGCAUGCAAGCCAAGAAGGAAAUAGAGUCUACCAGCAAGAUAGAAAUCAGUCUUUGUAACCUAAUUUCAAAAGUGACAUCCCACCAUCUUUACCUCUGCUGUAUUCUUUGCAUUAGAAGCAAGUCACAGGUCUCACCUAGCCCAAGGAGAGGGGAUGACACAAAGGUCUGAACACCAGGAGGUGGGUAUCACUGUUGGUCAUCUUAGAGCCUGUCUGUCACAAAGCAGGUGGCUGGUAAUGCUCUCAUGGAUUCAGCUGAACAAUUCUGCCCCCUGGAGUCUGAUGCUUCAUCAUGUGCUCUCCUAGCCCCCAGAAAUUUAACUUGCCUGCUCCCCCUGCUAGUUCAGGAGCUCUUUAAGGGAAAGGCCUUUGUAUCUCUCAUCCUAUGUGAGUGUCCCUAGGGUAGGGCCUACUGACUCUCAGGUACUAAAUACACACUUGGUGGAUGACUGUGUGGGGAGCUGAGAUCAGAGCAGAGCCAUGGCCCCUGCCUGCAUGCCCAGCUCAGCCAGAGCAGGAGUUGAUGGUACUGAGGACAGACCAUGCAGGGCUGUACUCUGGGGUGUGCUGUUUCUUUAGAUGCUUCUGCAAAGCCCAUCUCUCCAGGAAACCUGGUUCUAUUAGCCUAACUAACUCCAGCCUCUAAUCUUUUCUAAACCACUUACUCAGGUUUCCCUGCCCUGAUACUGACAGUGUUUUCAGGCUUUGCUUUCCAGCUUAGAAUCAGAAUCAAGGAGGUUCCCUCUUCUUAAAUGCCUACCACUCCCCCCUCCCCUGCUCCCCACAAAAAUGUGAAUACCCACAGCAUGAUGUCCCAGCCCCUCAGCCCCAGACAAUGUAUGUUUUCAUACUGUUGCUACAGUGGUACUUCCCAGUGUUCUGAAUUUUCAAGGAAACUUGGAAAUCUGUACUUUUAUGUACACUUUUCCCAUUUUUAAAAUGUGUGCAAGUAAAACAAACACAUCUGCUGGCUGUAUUUGGCUUUGGUUAUAUUGUGUGUUUACACAAUGACUGCACUUUACUGUUGGAUCUUUGCAACUGGACCACAGUGGCUGCCACAGCGAGUGUUCCUGAACUGCUCAGCAAAUGGUCCUCCACAAAUGGCCACUGGGCUCACAUGCUCUUUGGGUGGGGAUGGGGGGUACCCACUCUGAAACUCUGCCAGAAAAGCAGCCACUGCUUUUGUUGCUGUCCUUUGGAGUGCCCCUGUGAGAGCGCCCCUUUGGGAGUGGUUGUGGUUUGCUGGUCCUCAGCACCAUCUUGGUAAAUUGUAGAACUGCUCAGCUUUCAGCAAAGUGAAUGAAGGAUUAGGAAGUCAGUUUCUGAAUCUCUGAGAAGCUGCACCGAAACAGCACUAACAGGUUUAUUUAGGUCCACACUCACAAACAAAUCAAAAUGUGUUUGAAUAAUUCAAAGUCCAAAAUGAGUUAAAAAUAGUGCUGGGGACAAAACAGCCAGCACAGCAAGUCCAUUAGCGGCUGAUCCACAUUAAUGACCUCUAAUGAGCUUGGCUGCCAACAGCAGGCGUUGGAAGUUGGGAGCUGCCAGAUGCCAUCACUGCACAGUCCCUCUGUACUGGCUUGGCCUCAGGACCAUGUACAACCAUCCAUGUCACUGUCAUUUCAAAGAGUAAGCAGCACUGACUUUCAGCCAGGCUAGGGAGACCUCUCUCAGAAUAUUUGAGCUAAUGCGGGCAAGAGAAAUUCUGGGGAUCAGAGUGGUGGGGCCAUUCUGCUUUGCUUGCUGACCUCAGGUGGGGUGAUGGACUUUUCUGGCAUAAAAAGAAAAAAACGAAUGGAAACCAAACUCUGGGACAAAGAAGAGUUUGGUUUUGGCAAUAGAAGCUGAUGGAGAGACCCCAUGACCAUGCUUCCCAAGUCAGUGGCAAUGAAAGAUCAGGUUUUUAUUUCACAUCAGUUGCAGACAAAUACUUUUGCAAAAUAAAAUAAAAAUUGAGUUAUGAGAAAAAUGAGAUUUUUUUAAAAGCCAUGCAAAAUACAAGCCCCCAAUUUUUUAUUAUUAGACUGAAUAGUCAUACUCUUUUACUCUGUCAAGUUGAUAUUGAGGUUUCUAAACUCUCCAACUUCAGUAUUUCAUCACAGUCACACUCGGGCAGGAGCAAACCACAAGGCUUACCCACCUCCGGGCUGUCCCACUUUGUGUUCUUGCUGGGCUGUUCCCCCUGCUGGGAAUUAUCCUUCCUCAUUCUGUCCUUCCCCACACCAAAUGAGUGCCCAUGAAUGUCCUCUCAGCCCAGAACUGUGCCCCUGAGUGUCCACAUCUGCCUCCUCCACUCACCCCCAAGGCUGCUGCUACAGCUGGGAUCCACUCCUCACCUGGGCACACCUAGCUCCUCCUGGCUGGGGCCAUGCCCUCCUCCUCUCCCUCCACAAGGAGGCUAAAGAGAUUAACUUCUUAAAACAUGUGUCUGAUUAUGUCACCUGCUGGCUAAAGUCCUUCAGCAGCUUGCAGGCAACUACAGUGUCGGUCCCAAGUACCCAGUUGUGGGCUGAGGCUUCCACAGACCUGGCUGCCUCCCUCCUGGCCCUAUCCCCAGCAUGCCUGGACAACACCAGGCCUCUUGCUGCACCUAAGUGGGCUCUGUCCUCCUGCCUUGAGCCCUCACUGUGCUGCUCCUCUGGCCUGGUCUCCCUUCCCCUCCCUCUUCUUCUGUCUCUGUAGGAUUUCAGACCCAAGGUCAGGUGCCCCCUCCUCUAAGAGGUCUUCCAUGACAUUGGAGGUGGAGCUGGUUAAACCUGGCUUCCUCACCCCCUGAGUGGGACAACUCCAAGACAUGUUCUACCAGCCUCUUUCUGAGCAGGCGGAGCCCAGGCCCUGGGGGUAAACCUGCCUGGUGUCCCCACUCCCUCUCGGGUUUCUGGGCAUUACCUUCCACACAAAAGAUCUGCUCUCAGGCUUUUUGUCUCAGGUCUGUUUCUGGGGACCCAUGACCAAAACUCACUGGUUGCUGCGCUCCUGUCACAGUCUAGUGCCAGAGGCAGGAAAAGUGCAUCAUUACAAGUGGUAACAAAGAGUCAGGAAAACACAUUGGGGUAGGAAAAGAGUAUUGCAUUGAGCUGUGUGGGUCAGAGAAGGCCUGCGAGACUAAGUGACAUUUACAAAUUUGCAAUGCCAUGUAACAGAGUGUCAGUAUCAGUAGAGGCGGUGUGGGGACUCAGAGGAGGAGGAGAGGCCAGACCUAUUUGGGGUCAGGAAAAGUUUCACAGAAACAGAUUGAGUUAAGUGGUGUCAAAUGUUGACAGCUGAGCAAAGCAGAAAUAGCCUGCAGUGGCGUGGCUGGCACAAGGGCUACCAUGAAAGCCACUGUCCGUGAGGCACAUCUCUGUGCCAGGCCCUGGGCUGUGUGUGUCACGUGCCUCACCUCACUAAAUGCCCACAGCAACUUUCUGGACCAUCCUCAGUUUACAGAAGAGGAAACCAAGGCUCUGUGCAGAGCCAGGGUGUGGAGUCAGGGGCAGAGAGACAGGAUGGAUCACAGCCAGCACUCUUCGUGACUCGAUUUAGAUUUGCUCAAGGUUCCUAGUGAGUCGACGCUGCACCAGGACCUUUGCUGGAUCAUUUGUACCUGGUGCUGUGUCCUAGGCUGAAUCUUUCUAGAUUAAGCAUUAAUAAUAUUUGUCUUAUGCAAAUGUGCUUGUGUUGGGUGAGAUGUGAAUAAUUUACGUGGCUGUGAAGGUGUCACACCAUAGAUGUUGGGGACAGAACGCUGCUCAUCUCCUUGCAGCGUCACUAUGGACAAGCAGCCCCAACAUGUUCCGAACUGAGAAAUGGCUGCCUUGGCCUCCCUGCCACCUGCUGCCAAGGAACAAAGAUGAAUGGGAGGCAGGGGGACAGGCAGAGGCAGAAGGAGUGGGCCCUGGGGCUUGAGUGGCACACAGGCAGAAGCAGUACCUCCACCCCGCGGUGCACUGCUCCAUCCCCACUCCCUCUCCAGGAAGGCUGGACCUCUUCUGCCCAGUCCUCCAGGAAGCUCCCGGACUCCAGCUUGCAGUGAUGGCUCUCUGCCUCUCCACCUCUCUACAUCUCUGUCUCUAUCACUAUU